rnacentral:lncRNA from 1 species
UCCAUAAUCAAGCUUUCAAUCUUCAAGUGACAUAGUUCUUUUUUGAGAAAUUUUCAACAUCUUCACAAAGGAUAACCGAAUUCAAAUCUGGAAUUGGAAUUGACUAUUUGGGCCCAAAGACUCGCCAAUCCUAUCAAGAGCUUUUAAACACUAAAGAACAAAAUAGAUUUAACAUAGAAUAAAAGAACGUUAGGUAAAGAAAAAUGGAGAAUGGUAUGUUAGUUGGACCAACUAAUAUUCUUUCUGAAAUUUGAAGUUUUUAGGGAGGAAGGGUAUGACAUAGCUUAGUAAAUCAAUCAACAAUACAAUGUGAUAGAAGAAAAUGCUAAAUGAGAAGAGGAACAAAUUGAUGCCUGUUUUACUAGAAAAAAAAGGGAUGAACAAAAUUUUGCAGACACAAGGAUCAAGUUAAUAUGUCACACUGUAGGACUAGGUAAAGAAAAAGGUUUUAAAUUGCAAUUGUAGUAAUGAACUCAUGAUAACAUAAUGGAGUUAUGAAUCCAGGGCUAUCAUGGUUGUGGUUACCAUCACAACUGAGACUUAAAUCCUUGGAAGAGAAUAUUUGAGAGAAAAUCAGGUCAAGAGGGUGUGCUUGAGAACCAUGUGCGAGAAAUCAAAUUCAAGUUCUGUUUCAAAUUAAAACAUGAUUGUGACUCUGUGUUAUUCUUUCAUCUGCGGGCUAUGGGAAGUGAGAAGAUAUGGACUAAGGUAACUUUAAUAAAUCUUUGAUAAUAACACAACCAUAGUUUUAACUUUGAUAAAUCUUUUACAAAUUAGCAGCAAUGGUAUGAUAAUAUAGAUAAUCAUUUUUAACAUUAUUGUCACAUUACUCAAACAGCAAGCAGUAUGGGUCAAAUAGCCAUUUUAAGUAAAGAUAAAUGAUCAGCUCUAACAUCUUCCACAAAAACUAAUGUUCUCAAAGCUUCAAAUUUGUACACCAGUUUUAUUUUUUUUAUUUAUGGUCUAAUGGUCUCUAUUUUAUGUCCAAUGUUGCAAGGACCUGAAAAAUAAAUAUUCCAAAACAAACAAUGUUAUAAAAAGAGAGAGAGGUCAUGCUUACAGAAGAACAAGAUUGGAUUUUCCUCCUCAAUAACUGCCGAAUAACACCUCCAGCCAUCUUAGUUCAGACUGCAAUCCAUUCACAUGAAGACUACAGAAAGUAGCUAAAUAUCUCCAACAAGUAUAAAAGAUCAAAUUCUACAAAUAUGCAUAAGGGUACUGACAAAGACAGCCUCACCAAAAAGUGCAAAUAAGAUAAGAGUAAAUGUUAUCAACUGUUUCUGCAAUGAAGAAUAAGAACCAACAUAAGCAGAAAAAAACAGCAACAUCAAAAACCCACAUCACCAAGCAACACAUUCAAAUGAAAUCUCAAUAGGGCAUAUGAUUGCUGAACAUGGGUCACAGAUCCUAGUUGCAGUGAUUGCUGAACAUUUAAAACUAAGAGCUUAC